UCUGAGCCUGUCAGGAUGUGCGUGGAGGAGGAGCUGGUUGAGUAAGAUCCUGAUGGAGGGAAAGCAAAACAAUUCCUGCUCAGGAACAUCAGAGAAGCUGUUGGAAUGGGCUUCCUUCGAACCCCAGCCUCGUCUCAUCCUGCCACUGUGUUGGGGGCCUUCAAGGCAGGGCACCGAGGAGAAUAGCAGAUGUUUUGAGUCAGAGAGACCCUGAACCUUCAGAAAUCCGCAGGUGCAUCCUCAUGGCCAGAAAGAAUGCCAGGCCUGGGGUGACCGUAAGACCAAUUUUUCUUUCCAGGAAAGAUAGGAGCACUUGGGAAGGAGCUGGCUCACUCACAGGCUGAACUUGUUACAUGCACACAGCUUCUCUGUUUCAUGACGUUUUGCAUCCUCAGCUGGAAGAUACAUCCUGGAUUGAGAAAAUGCUCAUCCUGAAUGCUAUGCCCUGGGUCACUGUGCUUCCUAUGUGUCUCUAUUAUUAUUGUCCCUCCUAAACCCUGUGCCAACUCCGCCUUCUUUAGCCACAGGUCUCAAGAUGCUCUCCUGAAACAAACCCUGGACCAGGGAGUAAGCACAGCUGAAUCAGCUGAAUCCCUAAUACUGAGAAAGAUUCAUGACUUUCAAGCAGCCAAUCAUAUGUGUCUCUCUGUCCACUUGACAAACUCCCAGUUUGGGGAGCUGGAACAAUGUAUCUCUGUGUCAACAGCAAAGACGUGGAACUAACAUGUUCCCUUUUCUCCAUGUACAGAAAGCCACACCCUCAAGAACCAGGCCAUUUCCCAGAUUUUCAUCCCUCCCUCACCAGGAAGAGUUCAUUUGUGGGUCAUGGUUGCCUUAGUAGAGGGAGUGUCAGGUGUCAAUCCUCAAAGAACCUUUUAGAGCUUUGCUGGGCAUAGAAGAUAAGAAUCAACUGAGUGCUUUCUUGUGGUUCCUCAAGGACAGCUGAAGCCCUCACUGAUCACCCCAUGACCCACACCAGCACCUGAAGGAUUAAUGCAACUUUGAUCUUCCCCAAGGAAGCAAGAUGGGACCUGCUCCGUGGGGCCUCCUCUGGGCGAAGCCUCCUCUGGUGCCACCCCGCCAUGGCCGCCAGGCUCCUCUGCUGCAUGGCCCUUGGUCUCCUGGGAGUAGCAUCCGCAGAUGUUGGAGUCACCCAAACACCCAGGCACGAGGUGACAAAAGUGGGACAAGAAGUAACUCUGGAUUGUCAGCCGAUUUCAGGUCAUGAAUCCCUUUAUUGGUACAGACAGACCCCAGGGCAGGGACCGGAGUUUCUCAUUUACUUCAACAACAGGUCUCCUAUGGACAAGUCAGGGAUGCCCAAGGGCCGGUUCUCAGCUGAUAUGCCUAAUGCAUCAUUCUCCUUUCUGAAGAUCCAGACCACAGAACCCAGGGACUCGGCCACCUACCUCUGUGCCAGCAGCAUAGGCACAGUGCCGCAGAGUCACCCCCUGUCUGUGCAGAAAACCUCUGCUUCCCCUUCUGGCCCCAGCCCCAGCCAUCCUCAACAGUCUUUCCAGGCUCCUCCCCUAUCAGCGCAAGGACUGGGUUUGGGGUUCUGCUGUCCUCAGGGAAGGCAAGAAGGGAAUGAUGAGCGAUCACAUUAGGAAAUUUGGGGGAGGAAGGCAUUAGGGGGCUGUUCCUGGCAUUUCUUACGUAGAGUGACAGUCCCUGGCUAAGGGCGGAUGGCAUCCACUGGGCUUUCAAGUGAUUGAAUAAGCGGAAAAACUGCAGCCAUUCCUCAGUGAUAAUUACCAUCCUGUGUUGUCUUCCGUUAGUGAUGAGUCAUCCCUUCACGGCUUCACCACCGUCAGAAUGAUCAGAAAGAUCAGAAUGAUCAGAAUGGUUAAAUGGAC